rnacentral:rRNA from 1 species
GACGAACGCUGGCGGCGUGCUUAACACAUGCAAGUCGAGCGGUAAGGCCCCUUCGGGAGUACACGAGCGGCGAACGGGUGAGUAACACGUGAGUAAUCUGCCCUUCACUUCGGGAUAACCACCGGAAACGGUGGCUAAUACCGAAUACGACCAGUCUUCGCAUGAGGUGCUGGUGGAAAGUCUUUUCGGUGAAGGAUGUGCUCGCGGCCUAUCAGCUUGUUGGUGGGGUAAUGGCCUACCAAGGCUUCGACGGGUAGCCGGCCUGAGAGGGUGACCGGCCACACUGGGACUGAGACACGGCCCAGACUCCUACGGGAGGCAGCAGUGGGGAAUAUUGGACAAUGGGCGAAAGCCUGAUCCAGCAACGCCGCGUGAGGGAUGACGGCCUUCGGGUUGUAAACCUCUUUCAGUACCGACGAAGCGCCCUGUCGGGUGGUGACGGUAGGUACAGAAGAAGGACCGGCCAACUACGUG